rnacentral:rRNA from 1 species
GACGUAGGAUGCAAGCGUUGUCCGGAUUUAUUGGGCGUAAAGAGUUCGUAGGUGGUUCGUUAAGUCUGAUGUUAAAGACUGGGGCUCAACCCUGGAAGUGCAUUGGAUACUGGCGGACUUGAGUGUGGUAGAGGCAAUCGGAAUUCCAGGUGUAGCGGUGAAAUGCGUAGAUAUCUGGAAGAACACCGGUGGCGCAAGCGGAUUGCUGGGCCAUAACUGACACUGAGGAACGAAGGUCAGGGGAGCAAACGGG